rnacentral:lncRNA from 1 species
UCAACUCCCGUCAUAUGGAGAUCCUCAUAUCAUAUUUAUAGGUUUAGAAGACUUCUAAAUAGACUAGGAUUCCAAAAACUCAAUUUUAAAAACAGACGACGGUCUCAGGGUCCGGUCCUCCCGAGGAGACUGGUCCUUGGGGGACCGGUCCUCCAAGGUGAGGUCCGGUCCUUCGCUGCGUAGCUGUAAAAACAUGCGUACGGGGACCGGUCCUCAAUUCAGAGACCGGUCCCUCCCUGCGCAACAAGAAAAAACCACGUACGGGAACCGAUCCUCAAGAUCAGAGACCGAUCUCCCAAAACUUUUACGCAGAGAAGCUUGAUGGGUCCAGUCCCUCUAAUCAAGGACAGGUCCCUGACCCCUGAGAAUUUUUGAAAACUUUAGUUUGAUAAACAAAAAUAGAAACCAAGUCUUCUAAAUAUUUUUAACAAUAAAAUCUCAUCACAAAUUAUUUAUAAUCAUACCUGAGAUCCCAAGGGUCUUGAUCACCAAACUCCAAUUCUUUCUUCAACCUCCGUCUUCAAACACUUCGAGACUCCGUCCAAAACUUCACGAAAAUCGCCAACUUAACAAAAUCCUUAACAAUCUCCCCCUUUGGCGAUUUCGUGACCAAAUACAAAAGAAAUAUUACAAUACUCAUCCAAAAAAUAAAAUAAGAAGAUUAUUGCAAUCACCAAACAAUAAUCUUCUGCAUGAUCGAUCCAAUAAAAAUAAAAUUACAUUUUUCACAUCCUAAUACAAACUCUAUGACUUAAGACACGG